rnacentral:piRNA from 1 species
CCUUGCUAGGAAAUUACAGGCUAC